rnacentral:lncRNA from 1 species
AAAAAUUUAGAAAAAAUACUGAUAACGCAGUCAAUAAAUCCCAAUGCCCAAACCGACCCGCCUACUGUAAAAGAAAUAAAAGGCACUCGAAGCCCCAAAAAAUCUCACUAGUCUCUCAUUCUCUUCUCCCGCUCAAAUCGUCGAAAACGCCGGCAGCCAUCUUCGAUUUUAAGUUCCCCACGCCGGUCACCGAGAUCUGAACUGGGUUUUUAAGGUUUUGGGAUUUAGAUUUAGAUUUUUGGAUCUAAAAGAUUUGUGUUCUUUGAGGAUUUUGGGGCUUAUAAAUUGUAAAUUUCUCAGUUAAAGCUAAAAGAUUAGGUGUUGUGGUGGUUUUAAGCUGAAAUGAAGUUUCUCAGUUCAACAUUUGGCAUUUGAAUUUCUUGGAAAUGAAAUUCUGUGCCGGGGGGUGUUUGGUGAAGAAUAUAAAGGGCAGAUGAAGCUGAAUUUUUCUUUUGUGUUCUGUAGCAGAACAGGUUUUGGUUGAAUAUAUAUUUACUGGGGAAGCUAAAGCUAAAUUUUCUUAAAAAUAUUCAUGUGAAAUAAUUGCUAAAUUUUCUUGCACUCUAUUUGGAAGUUUGGCAGUGAAGGGGUGGGUAUAUAGUGCUGUGACUGCAUGCGUUGAAGUUGGUGAGUUAUAGAGGCCAACUUUGGGUUGAAAAGGGCAAUUUUCUUUCUGGUUCCAUCUUUUACUGUUGAAUCUGUAGCAAUGAAGCCCUCUUCUGCUGGUUUAAGUCAGCGGUCUCCCGAAGGUAAAUUUUCUUUUCUUCAAGUUAAUUACUCACUAUUUUAAUGUUGCAUAUCUUACAAAAGAGCUUCCACUACAAUUUCAUUUUGGCCUUUUUUGGGUGAGGCCAGAAUGUAUGUAAAAUUGCAUAUUCUUGACAAGUUAAAGGUUAAAUUG